rnacentral:rRNA from 1 species
GGGGAUGCAGGGUCUAUAAUGCAGUCGACGACUCUGGUAUUGAUUGGUGCUUGCAUCAUGAUUUACAUUUGAGUGAGUGGCGAACUGGUGAGUAACACGUGGGAAACCUGCCCAGAAGCGGGGGAUAACACCUGGAAACAGAUGCUAAUACCGCAUAACAACUUGGACCGCAUGGUCCGAGUUUGAAAGAUGGCUUCGGCUAUCACUUUUGGAUGGUCCCGCGGCGUAUUAGCUAGAUGGUGAGGUAACGGCUCACCAUGGCAAUGAUACGUAGCCGACCUGAGAGGGUAAUCGGCCACAUUGGGACUGAGACACGGCCCAAACUCCUACGGGAGGCAGCAGUAGGGAAUCUUCCACAAUGGACGAAAGUCUGAUGGAGCAACGCCGCGUGAGUGAAGAAGGGUUUCGGCUCGUAAAACUCUGUUGUUAAAGAAGAACAUAUCUGAGAGUAACUGUUCAGGUAUUGACGGUAUUUAACCAGAAAGCCACGGCUAACUACGUGCCAGCAGCCGCGGUAAUACGUAGGUGGCAAGCGUUGUCCGGAUUUAUUGGGCGUAAAGCGAGCGCAGGCGGUUUUUUAAGUCUGAUGUGAAAGCCUUCGGCUCAACCGAAGAAGUGCAUCGGAAACUGGGAAACUUGAGUGCAGAAGAGGACAGUGGAACUCCAUGUGUAGCGGUGAAAUGCGUAGAUAUAUGGAAGAACACCAGUGGCGAAGGCGGCUGUCUGGUCUGUAACUGACGCUGAGGCUCGAAAGUAUGGGUAGCAAACAGGAUUAGAUACCCUGGUAGUCCAUACCGUAAACGAUGAAUGCUAAGUGUUGGAGGGUUUCCGCCCUUCAGUGCUGCAGCUAACGCAUUAAGCAUUCCGCCUGGGGAGUACGGCCGCAAGGCUGAAACUCAAAGGAAUUGACGGGGGCCCGCACAAGCGGUGGAGCAUGUGGGUUUAAUUCGAAGCUACGCGAAGAACCUUACCAGGUCUUGACAUACUAUGCAAAUCUAAGAGAUUAGACGUUCCCUUUCGGGGACAUGGAUACAGGUGGUGCAUGAUUGUCGUCAGCUCGUGUCGUGAGAUGUUGGGUUUAAGUCCCCGCAACGAGCGCACCCCUUAUUAUCAGUUGCCAGCAUUAGGUGGGCACUCUAUGAGACUGCCGCUGACAACGAAGGAGGUGGGGAUGACGUUCCAAAUUCAUCCAAUUGCCCCCCU